rnacentral:snRNA from 1 species
UUUUCUUCCAAGGUUCAAGAA